AUUUGCCCCGAGAGAUGGUGCCGUCCAUGGGCUUUGACCUCCUCGAGCAUCUCUCCUUGAUCUCUGUUUCCAUCUCAGCGGACGUCUUCUGCGGACUGCUCUCUGCUUGCCGUGCGUUGGAGAGCUUACACAUGUCCGAACUUCGUGGUGCUCGUUGCCACCAUGUUCGCUCGCCGACUCUUAGGAGUAUCUGCUUCCGUGACACCUCUGGUAAAGUAGAGCUGGUCAUCGAGGAUGCGCCUCGCCUUGUGAGGUUACUAAUGCCUUUUGGUUGCCGAGAUGAUUGUGGUACUAUCCGUGUAAUUUGUGCGCCUAAACUGGAGUUGGGCUUUGUUACCUGUCGUCUCCAAGCUCCUAGCCUCCCAGGGAGUAAGUUCAGCCGACUUGGCAAACUCGAUGCACACGGUGAAGAUUUUGGCUCUUAGGUGUUCCGGGUAUGAAUUGGAUGGAGUUCUUAAUAUCCUUAGGAGGUUCCCCUGUCUCGAGAAGCUCUAUAUCAUUUUUCACAAACACAACGAGACGGAUACGAAAAUCGAGCCUCAAUGUGACCGACUAUAUCCAAUUGAAUGCCUUCAAACCAAUCUCAAAACAGUGGUGUUUGAAACAUUCGUGGGCCAUGAUAAACAGCUUGAGUUUGCCAAGUUUUUUGUUUUGAAUGCAAAAGUGCUAAACAAAAUUGAAUUUGAUGGAAUGUAUGGUGCCUACAACAGUGUAUCGCUGGCUUAUCAACACAGGCUGCUACGAGUGGAAGACAGAGCUUCUCGAGAUGCUCAAUUUGAAUUCAUGAAUAGAAAUCGAUAUACUGUGAAGCAUCUCCAAAAGCAUAUCCAUGAUUUGUCAGUGGCUGACCCCUUCGAACAGCCAUAGGCAGGGUUGAUGCCUGAAGAUUGCACUGUUCUUAGUGUCCUGUGCUUGUUUUGUAGACGAUAUUCAUUCCUUAAGAUCACAUCAUGUUCCACAUAGACCUGCCCUAUUUUCUAGCCUAAGGUUCCUCUGCCAUUCAAGUAACUUAUGAAGUUGCCACUGUUAACACUGCAAGAGAUUCUUUUGGAUGCAAAAACAGUGUGGAAAAUUUCUGAUGGAGAGGGAUGCAAAAACAUCACUGCUGACAGUUGUAACUGGUGACAGCUGGUAAGUGGUAAUCCCAUCUGCCAAAACUCCUACGGGCUAUGGUCUUAACCUGUGCAAUCGUUCGUGGCUUCGCUCUGCCUAAGCCGUGCUAGGAACACAUCCUUGUAUUGAAAACUUAAUUGUCUUUUCAGUUAGUACAUGCAAAAGCAGGAGAUGUUUGAUUGCUGAUCUGUUUUUUUA